rnacentral:rRNA from 1 species
GACGAACGCUGGCGGCGUGCUUAACACAUGCAAGUCGAGCGGUAAGGCCCUUCGGGGUACACGAGCGGCGAACGGGUGAGUAACACGUGGGUGAUCUGCCUCGCACUUCGGGAUAAGCCUGGGAAACUGGGUCUAAUACCGGAUAUGACUCCUGGUCGCAUGGCUGGGGGUGGAAAGAUUUAUCGGUGCGAGAUGGGCCCGCGGCCUAUCAGCUUGUUGGUGGGGUAAUGGCCUACCAAGGCGACGACGGGUAGCCGGCCUGAGAGGGCGACCGGCCACACUGGGACUGAGACACGGCCCAGACUCCUACGGGAGGCAGCAGUGGGGAAUAUUGCACAAUGGGCGAAAGCCUGAUGCAGCGACGCCGCGUGAGGGAUGACGGCCUUCGGGUUGUAAACCUCUUUCGACAGGGACGAAGCGCAAGUGACGGUACCUGUAGAAGAAGCACCGGCCAACUACGUG